ACACUGAGGAGAGGAAUGGACAGCGGACACUGGAGGUGCAGGGCUCAGGCUUGGGGCCGGCGGCUACAGCUUCUUGCGUUGUAUGAACUCCAAAUACAGUACUCAAAUUGGAUGGUCAGUGGUGCAUUGCCUGGUGAUUUCGUGUGAUUGCCUACAUUGGUGAUGGAAGCUUCCAGGGCUACAAAAGCGGUGGUAGCAAUAGCGGAAGAGGUUGGAAGUGGCGUUUAUGGAGGAAAAGGCGGUGAACAAUGCACCAAGGAAUGGUAGUCAUAAAGCACAGAUUUUUGGUAACUUAUUAAGGGAUUUUUUGGAAGCGCGUGGAACCUCUUGCUCUGAUUUUGGCUUUGUGCAUAACAAGAAAAGAGUGACGAUGGAUAUAUAUACAGGUGCAUUUAAAUUUUCUGAUGUUUGGAGGAUUAAUAUAUGUACGUGUACAUUUAAACUUUUCGACAUUUGAACCUUGCAUACAUUAACAUUGAAA